rnacentral:rRNA from 1 species
UACGGAGGGUGCGAGCGUUGUCCGGAAUCAUUGGGCGUAAAGGGCGCGUAGGUGGCCCGGUCAGUUCGUGGUGAAAGCGCGGGGCUCAACCCUGCGUCGGCCAUGAAUACUGCCGCGGCUGGAGCACUGUAGAGGCAGGCGGAAUUCCGGGUGUAGCGGUGGAAUGCGUAGAGAUCCGGAAGAACACCGGUGGCGAAGGCGGCCUGCUGGGCGGUUGCUGACACUGAGGCGCGACAGCGUGGGGAGCAAGCAGG